AGGUCAUUUCAAAGGGGGCGAUAAAGCCAGGAUCUCUUAACACUAUGACCUAAGACUGACUUUCUUCAUUGAUGCUAUAGUCACUCAAUAGUGACUAUCUGAGGAGAUACAUCA
rnacentral:snoRNA from 1 species